AGACGAAGGUGGCAACCGUUGUUCGGAAUCACUGGGCAUAAAGCGCACGUAGGCGGGAAAGCAAGUCGGGUGUGAAAUCCCUCGGCCCAACCGAGGAACUGCGCCCGAAACUGCUUUUCUUGAGGACAGAAGGGGAGCAUGGAAUUCCUAGUGGAGCGGUGAAAUGCGUUGAUAUCAGGAGGGACACCGGCGGCGAAGGCGAUGCUCUGGUCUGUUUCUGACGCUAAGGUGCGAAAGCCAGGGGAGCAAACGGGAUUAGAUACCCCAGUAGUCC
rnacentral:rRNA from 1 species